CUUGACUAAUAUAAGAGGUCCAGCCUGCCCAGUGACAUUGUUUAACGGCCGCGGUAUCCUAACCGUGCGAAGGUAGCGUAAUCACUUGUUCUUUAAAUGAGGACUAGUAUGAAAGGCACCACGAGAGUCAUACUGUCUCCUUUCUCUAAUCAGUGAAACUAAUCUCCCCGUGAAGAAGCGGGAAUAAUAAUAUAAGACGAGAAGACCCUAUGGAGCUUUAAACAAAAAAUACUUGCCUAUCUUUUUUAAAUUUCAGAAAAACACUUUAUCUUGGCAUUAUACUUUUAAGUUUUUGAUUGGGGUGAUCACGGAACAAAAAAUAACCUCCGCAAUGAAAGACACUUAUUCACUAAGUUAAGAGCUACAGCCCUACACAUCAAGAAAUUGACAACAAUUGACCCAAUAUAUUGAUCAAUGAAC
rnacentral:rRNA from 1 species